CACGUAGGGCGCAAGCGUUGUCCGGAAUUAUUGGGCGUAAAGAGCUCGUAGGCGGUCUGUUACGUCUGCUGUGAAAACCCUGGGCUUAACCCUGGGCUUGCAGUGGAUACGGGCAGACUAGAGGCAGGUAGGGGAGAAUGGAAUUCCCGGUGUAGCGGUGAAAUGCGCAGAUAUCAGGAGGAACACCGGUGGCGAAGGCGGGUCUCUGGGCCGGAACUGACGCUAAGGAGCGAAAGCGUGGGGAGCGAACGAGG
rnacentral:rRNA from 1 species